AAGGAUCACCAGACUGUAAAACUCCAUCAUUCCCGGCAUUCCAAGAAGAGCAGCUAAGCACCUCAUUUCAUUGAAAGGGACUAACUACACUCAGCAUUCUGAGGAGCGCUUGAGCCCAGGAUUCCAGAGAAUGAGGGAAAUAUGCACGGGAUUAUAACAACGAAGACUCGAAGACUCGGGCAAUCACAAGUCUCAACACUUUGGUGAUCACCAAACAACGAGGUUCUGUGACCAUCUCUGCCUCUCGUCCAUACCUUCUUGACUGUAAACUAACACUGGAGAGGCUCUGGCUCUG
rnacentral:lncRNA from 1 species